rnacentral:rRNA from 1 species
AGUGAACGCUGGCGGUAGGCCUAACACAUGCAAGUCGAACGGCAGCACAGUAAGAGCUUGCUCUUACGGGUGGCGAGUGGCGGACGGGUGAGGAAUACAUCGGAAUCUACUUUUUCGUGGGGGAUAACGGAGGGAAACUUACGCUAAUACCGCAUACGACCUACGGGUGAAAGCAGGGGAUCUUCGGACCUUGCCCGAUUGAAUGAGCCGAUGUCGGAUUAGCUAGUUGGCGGGGUAACGGCCCACCAAGGCGACGAUCCGUAGCUGGUCUGAGAGGAUGAUCAGCCACACUGGAACUGAGACACGGUCCAGACUCCUACGGGAGGCAGCAGUGGGGAAUCUUGGACAAUGGGCGCAAGCCUGAUCCAGCCAUGCCGCGUGGGUGAAGAAGGCCUUCGGGUUGUAAAGCCCUUUUGUUGGGAAAGAACAGCAGCAGGUUAAUCCCCCGCUGUUCUGACGGUACCCAAAGAAUAAGCACCGGCUAACCUCGUG